GUGGCCCAGGAUAGCUCAGCUGGUUAGAGCUUGGUGCUGAUAAUGGUAAGGUCACAGGUUUGAUCCCCGUAUGGUUGCA